rnacentral:rRNA from 1 species
UACGUAGGGUGCGAGCGUUAAUCGGAAUUACUGGGCGUAAAGCGUGCGCAGGCGGUUUUGUAAGACUGUCGUGAAAUCCCCGGGCUUAACCUGGGAAUGGCGAUGGUGACUGCAAGGCUAGAGUUUGGCAGAGGGGGGUAGAAUUCCACGUGUAGCAGUGAAAUGCGUAGAGAUGUGGAGGAACACCGAUGGCGAAGGCAGCCCCCUGGGUCAAAACUGACGCUCAUGCACGAAAGCGUGGGGAGCAAACAGG